UACAGAGGGUGCGAGCGUUGUCCGGAAUCACUGGGCGUAAAGGGCGCGUAGGCGGCCUGCUAAGUCGAACGUGAAAUCCCUGGGCUCAACCCAGGAACUGCGUCCGAUACUGGCAGGCUUGAAUCCGGGAGAGGGAUGCGGAAUUCCAGGUGUAGCGGUGAAAUGCGUAGAUAUCUGGAGGAACACCGGUGGCGAAGGCGGCAUCCUGGACCGGCAUUGACGCUGAGGCGCGAAAGCCAGGGGAGCAAACGGG
rnacentral:rRNA from 1 species